UAUUAUAUAUUAAUUUACACUGAAUAAUUAUAUCAAAUAUAUUUCCAAAAAAAAUGAAAUUUCCAAAAGAAAUAAUACUAUAAUUUUACUAAAAAUAGGUACAAACCAGGAUUAGAUACCCUGUUAUUCUAUUCUAAUAAAAUAAUUCAAAGAAAUAAAACAAAAUAAAUUUGACGGUAUUAAAUUUUACAAAGGAAUUUGUUUCUAAAUCGACAACACACGAACAUCUUACUUAAUACAUAUCUGUAUACCACCGUUUUUGAAAUUAUUUAAAAUAAAUUUCGAAAAAGAUUAUUCUUAAAUAUCAGGUCAAGGUGCAAUUUUAUUAAGAUGAAAUGAAUUACAUUAACUUAUAUCCACAUAUAAUAACUGAAAUAUUAUUAAAAAAAGAAUUUGGCAGUAAAUUUUUAUCAAAAUGAUAAAUUGAAAAUUUAUAUUAAUAUG
rnacentral:rRNA from 1 species